GACGAACGCUGGCGGCGUGCUUAACACAUGCAAGUCGAGCGGUAAGGCCCUUUCGGGGGUACACGAGCGGCGAACGGGUGAGUAACACGUGGGUGACCUGCCCUUAGCUCUGGGAUAAGCCUGGGAAACUGGGUCUAAUACCGGAUAUGACUCCAUGACGCAUGUUGUGGGGUGGAAANCCUUGUGCGGCUAGGGAUGGGCCCGCGGCCUAUCAGCUUGUUGGUGGGGUGAUGGCCUACCAAGGCGACGACGGGUAGCCGGCCUGAGAGGGCGACCGGCCACACUGGGACUGAGACACGGCCCAGACUCCUACGGGAGGCAGCAGUGGGGAAUCUUGCGCAAUGGGCGAAAGCCUGACGCAGCGACGCCGCGUGAGGGAUGACGCCU
rnacentral:rRNA from 1 species